rnacentral:rRNA from 1 species
CCUACGGGUGGCUGCAGUGAGGAAUAUUGGUCAAUGGGCGAGAGCCUGAACCAGCCAAGUCGCGUGAAGGAUGACGGCCCUACGGGUUGUAAACUUCUUUUGUCAGGGAGCAAUUGGGUCCACGCGUGGCCUUAGCGAGAGUACCUGCAGAAAAAGCAUCGGCUAACUCCGUGCCAGCAGCCGCGGUAAUACGGAGGAUGCGAGCGUUAUCCGGAUUUAUUGGGUUUAAAGGGUGCGUAGGCGGAAUUUCAAGUCAGCGGUAAAAUUUCGGGGCUCAACCCCGUCGUGCCGUUGAAACUGGUGUUCUUGAGUGGGCGAGAAGUAUGCGGAAUGCGUGGUGUAGCGGUGAAAUGCAUAGAUAUCACGCAGAACUCCGAUUGCGAAGGCAGCAUACCGGCGCCCAACUGACGCUGAGGCACGAAAGCGUGGGUAUCGAACAGGAUUAGAGACCCGAGUAGUC